UGACUUCAUAGGGGUGAACAAUAAAGAUUUGUUUUAUACUGUCAGGUUUGAGGUAACGGUAGGUUAUAUUUACUUUGUGUAUAAUGUAUUAAGGGGAGAUAAUCAAUCCAAAUGACUUCAUAGGGGUGAACAAUAAAGAUUUGUUUUAUACUGUCAGGUUUGAGGUAAUGGUAGGUUAUACUUUGUGUAUGUUGUAUAAAGGGGAGAUAAUCAAUCCAAAUGACUUCAUAGGGGGUGAACAAUAAAGAUUUGUUUUAUACUGUCAGGUUUGAGGUAAUGGUAGGUUAUACUUUGUGUAUAAUGUAUUAAGGGGAGAUAAUCAAUCCAAAUGACUUCAUAGGGGGUGAACAAUAAAGAUUUAUUUUAUACUGUCAGGUUUGAGGUAAUGGUAGGUUAUACUUUGUGUAUGUUGUAUAAAGGGGAGAUAAUCAAUGCAAAUGACUUCAUAGGGG
rnacentral:lncRNA from 1 species